rnacentral:rRNA from 1 species
UACGAGGGGGGCAAGCGUUGUUCGGAAUUAUUGGGCGUAAAGGGCGCGUAGGCGGUGCGGUAAGUCACCUGUGAAAACUCUGGGCUCAACUCAGAGCCUGCAGGCGAAACUGCCGUGCUUGAGUGUGGGAGAGGUGCGUGGAAUUCCCGGUGUAGCGGUGAAAUGCGUAGAUAUCUGGAGGAACACCGGUGGCGAAGGCGGCAUCCUGGACCAUGACUGACGCUGAGGAGCGAAAGCCAGGGGAGCAAACGGG